AUUGAACGCUGGCGGCAUGCCUUACACAUGCAAGUCGAACGGCAGCACGGGUGCUUGCACCUGGUGGCGAGUGGCGAACGGGUGAGUAAUACAUCGGAACAUGUCCUGUAGUGGGGGAUAGCCCGGCGAAAGCCGGAUUAAUACCGCAUACGAUCUACGGAUGAAAGCGGGGGACCUUCGGGCCUCGCGCUAUAGGGUUGGCCGAUGGCUGAUUAGCUAGUUGGUGGGGUAAAGGCCUACCAAGGCGACGAUCAGUAGCUGGUCUGAGAGGACGACCAGCCACACUGGGACUGAGACACGGCCCAGACUCCUACGGGAGGCAGCAGUGGGGAAUUUUGGACAAUGGGCGAAAGCCUGAUCCAGCAAUGCCGCGUGUGUGAAGAAGGCCUUCGGGUUGUAAAGCACUUUUGUCCGGAAAGAAAUCCUUGGUUCUAAUAUAGCCGGGGGAUGACGGUACCGGAAGAAUAAGCACCGGCUAACUACGUGCCAGCAGCCGCGGUAAUACGUAGGGUGCGAGCGUUAAUCGGAAUUACUGGGCGUAAAGCGUGCGCAGGCGGUUUGCUAAGACCGAUGUGAAAUCCCCGGGCUCAACCUGGGAACUGCAUUGGUGACUGGCAGGCUAGAGUAUGGCAGAGGGGGGGUAGAAUUCCACGUGUAGCAGUGAAAUGCGUAGACAUGUGGAGGAAUACCGAUGGCGAAGGCAGCCCCCUGGGCCAAUACUGACGCUCAU
rnacentral:rRNA from 1 species